rnacentral:rRNA from 1 species
UCAGCCUACGGGGCGCAGCAGUGGGGAAUAUUGCACAAUGGGGGAAACCCUGAUGCAGCGACGCCGCGUGAGCGAGGAAGUAUUUCGGUAUGUAAAGCUCUGUCAGCAGGGAAGAAGAAUGACGGUACCUGAAGAAGAAGCACCGGCUAAAUACGUGCCAGCAGCCGCGGUAAUACGUAUGGUGCAAGCGUUAUCCGGAUUUACUGGGUGUAAAGGGAGCGCAGGCGGUUCUGGAAGUCUGAUGUGAAAGCCCGGGGCUUAACCGCGGGACUGCCUUGGAAACUGGGGG